UACGUAGGGUGCGAGCGUUGUCCGGAAUUACUGGGCGUAAAGAGCUCGUAGGUGGUUUGUCACGUCGUCUGUGAAAUUCCGGGGCUUAACCUCGGGCGUGCAGGCGAUACGGGCAAUACUUGAGUGCUGUAGGGGAGACUGGAAUUCCUGGUGUAGCGGUGAAAUGCGCAGAUAUCAGGAGGAACACCAAUGGCGAAGGCAGGUCUCUGGGCAGUUACUGACGCUGAGGAGCGAAAGCAUGGGUAGCGAACAGGAUUAGAUACCCCU
rnacentral:rRNA from 1 species